rnacentral:rRNA from 1 species
UACAGAGGGUGCGAGCGUUGUCCGGAAUCACUGGGCGUAAAGGGCGCGUAGGUGGUGGCUUAAGCGUGCGGUGGAAUCCCCGGGCUCAACCCGGGAACUGCGUCCGAUACUGGAAGGCUUGAAUCCGGGAGAGGGAUGUGGAAUUCCAGGUGUAGCGGUGAAAUGCGUAGAUAUCUGGAGGAACACCGGUGGCGAAGGCGACAUCCUGGACCGGUAUUGACGCUGAGGCGCGAAAGCCAGGGGAGCAAACGGG